UGAGUGAGGAGUGUGAGGGCUGGGAGGAGGUUGGGGUGCAGGAAAGUGGCCUUGGGGAGCUGAGGCUGGGCUGCACAACAUGGCCCUGCAGCCUAGAGCCCAAGGCUGAGCCAGGGAGGCUCUGCUCCCCUCCAGGGCUGUGUAGGGCUUUCCCAGCCUCUCUGGAGAUAAUUUCUCUGGGAUGGCCAAGGAAAGGUUGACAACAGAGCUCCUGGGUGGUCACUGAGGGAGAGGUCCUGGGAGGGCCUCGCUCUGCUCUCCCACACUGCUGCAGGGCAGACAGUUUAGGGAGAAGCCUGGCCUUGCAGAGCAGGCUCUUGUGAAGCUGCUGUCCCUAGCAGUGGCUUGCGAGGAAGGGGCUUUGCUAGUUCUCCUGAGGGGCCUGGGUCCCAGCUAGCAGGUGGAGGAGCUGGGCAGGAGGUAGCACUUCUGUGACUGCCUCGGCUCCAGGAAGAGGAUUUGGAGAGCACCCACCCUUGCAAGCUGGGAAGGGCUUUGAAGUCACCCGCUGUCCUGUCAGUCUGGUGUAGGCGGGCACCCCAGACUGCAUCUGAGUUGACCUGGCACAGGCCUGCAGCAUGGCAGUGAGCCAUGCCCUCGCCUUGUCUCCGAGUCUCCUUUCCCAUGGUGCCGCCACCACAGCUACCCUAAGGACACUUCAGAUUUACACCCAGACAGGGGUAACUGUUCUCCGGGGAUGGAGCUGUGGAAGAGGCAAGAGCUCAGUUCCCUAAGAAUCACCAGUCCAAGCGCUGUGCCAUGAGCCUAGUCCCUCUGGUGCUGGAGUGCUACAUCCAUCUGUUCUCCAGGAACUCCACACCUACAAGAGUGGCAGCAAUAAACUCGGUGCUUCACAGGGCUGGAGGCGAUGGUCCCUCUGGGUGCCGGGAGAAGAAAAAGGCAGGUUGGAGAGAUGGCUCAGUGGGCAAAGAUAUGUGCUUCCGGGCCUGAUGAGCUGAGAUCAGUCCUGGGGGCCCGAUCUACAUGGUGGAAGGAGAGGACUGACUUCCACAAGGCCUCUUCCUCUGGCCUUCACCUUUGUGCUUUGCAUCCCUCCCAGUAACUAAAAAUGGAAAUAAAAACUUCUUAAAAAUUGUCA